rnacentral:rRNA from 1 species
GAUGAACGCUGGCGGCGUGCCUAAUACAUGCAGGUCGAGCGAACAGACGAGGAGCUUGCUCCUCUGACGUGAGCGGCGGACGGGUGAGUAACACGUGGAUAACCUACCUAUAAGACUGGGAUAACUUCGGGAAACCGGAGCUAAUACCGGAUAAUAUAUUGAACCGCAUGGUUCAAUAGUGAAAGACGGUUUUGCUGUCACUUAUAGAUGGAUCCGCGCCGCAUUAGCUAGUUGGUAAGGUAACGGCUUACCAAGGCGACGAUGCGUAGCCGACCUGAGAGGGUGAUCGGCCACACUGGAACUGAGACACGGUCCAGACUCCUACGGGAGGCAGCAGUAGGGAAUCUUCCGCAAUGGGCGAAAGCCUGACGGAGCAACGCCGCGUGAGUGAUGAAGGUCUUCGGAUCGUAAAACUCUGUUAUUAGGGAAGAACAAAUGUGUAAGUAACUAUGCACGUCUUGACGGUACCUAAUCAGAAAGCCACGGCUAACUACGUG